GAGACAGACCUGUCAAAUUUAGACAUUGGAUUAUUAAGAGAGGAUUGAACCCGCAACCUCAUGGUUCCUAAUCGGAUUCAUUUCUGCCAAACAAUACUAUUCUCAUGUCAAAGUGAAACAAAACAAAAUUUUAAAAUUCUAAAAUUAAUUCCACAAAUCCAAUUUACUUGAACUUGGAGUGACAAAGUCAAAGCCAGUCUCAUCAUCUGCACUUUAAUUUGAUAAACUGCAUUUGAAAAAAAAAAUAAUUGCAUCUGCUGCAAUGCAGAACUGACGAUUUUUUUUUUUUUUGCAUUUAUGUCAAAAUAACUGUGACACAGAUUUUUUUUUUUUUAAGUUGUAAUUCCGGGAAACCCAACAGAAUGUACCAUUCAUGAAAUUCCAUUAAAGCUGCAGGGCAACAUAGAGUUAAUGGCAUAUAAGGACAGGUGCAUAUACAUUACUUUCCAGUUCCUUGCCCCCGCUGGAAAAAAUGAUUACAACCACUUCCUAUAAACCUAGGCCACAAACAUUCUGCAAAGGUCCACAAGGAGCUUUUCUACUUAGCACAAUCCAGCAAUCUGAUCCCACAGUGUCAGGGGAGGCAUGUAGACAUUCAAAUCCUUUACCAACCACUAGCAAACGUCAAAGUGGACCCCUUGGAGGAACAGGGCUGGGUGAGGUAAGAUUCUAACUCAGCAUGAAAGGCAGGGGCCUGGCUACUUUCAGACACCCAGUCUCAAGUGGAUACCAAAUGCACUGGUAUCCAACACCUUGGCCUUUUCCCAGACUGCUGCCUGCACAGCUUCCUGCGUAGAUGGAAGCAGGGAGGGCCCUACAAGGCUGCACACACAAGCCCCAUCUUCCUCGGUGCGCCCAGACAGCACUAGCCAGAGGGUGGGAGCAUGGUCAGCUCUGGGCCAGUGGACAAAUAGCAUAACCACAUCUGGGACUGCUGGAUUUCUUGGGAUCUAGUUUGAAGGCUUUGGCCCUGGUUUGAGUCUUGUGCUGCGGACCUGUUUUUAGAUGUGAUUUUUUUUUUUUUUUAAAUACUCGUCUUUGAGAGAGGGGAAAAAAAAAAAAAAGGCCUAGGUGUUUCCGGAAUGUUUCUAACAGCUGGAGUAGUUGGGCCGGGGUGGUACCUUUGAGGUUCAGGGUAUCCCGAAGGAAUAACUGAAAUGGAGGCUUAAUGUAUUUAAUAUUACAUGUAUUUUAAUUUGGUUUUAAACUGAUACUGCAUUGUUUGAAAGAAAUUGAAAUAGUAUCAGAGAUGUGUUCACAGCAAUAUUUAUUGCCUUCCUGAGAGGUUUUGAAGUUCUAACUUAUGAUUCUUUAAAGUAACUAACACUAAAUAUAACCCCAAAUCCAAUAUGAUAGAAAAAAGUGAUUUUUGAUGUUAUUUUUCUCUUGUUCUUAAAUAAAUCUAGCGUAUAAUAAAUAUUUUCAGC
rnacentral:lncRNA from 1 species